UGAAGUUUCUUAACAUUUAAAAUUUAUCUCAUUUAGGGUUCCUGCAAAAUAUGAAACUUUUUCAUUCAGACAAUUAGAAUCCCUUGCUUCCUGGAUGGUCUGCAGCCCAUCAGAUUUAUUGCUGUGGAUACUAAUUUUCGGAAGCUGUAGUAUCUAAUAUGGUGAUGAUGAAGACAAGAACUUCAGAAUGAAGAACUUCUUUUUCGCCCCAUUAGGACUUUGAAAUCUUCAUGUAUUGGAGGACAGGUGGAGAUCCUGAGGCGAAAAUGAUUUUUGCAUGGUUUGACUCUUUAUCCAGCAUAUGGAGUAGUUAGCAUAUUGGGAAUUUUUAUUUUCAGUUGCUACAAAUUGUCUGUAGUUAGGACUCUGUGUCCUCGUAUUGUUCCUUCUACAUGUGAUAGCGCUGAGUCCUCAGCCUUUGCUUUUAAACUGCUGUUUUUGAAGUCUUCUUGCAUGACAUAUGAGCGGGAGUGUUUGUGUAUAGGUGAAUGUGUUGGUGAAGUCUAUACCACUAGCAUUCUGUAGGUGAGGCAAAGCCAAAGCGAUUAAGUAGGGUAUGCAUCUGUAUGUGUUUCUGAGCUUAUGGUGUUCACCUAUUUAUGGGUCCUGUGUUGGCACAAAGCACUCUUAAAGCCUUUAAACAAUUCUAAGGCAUUUUGUUAUAGUUGAAGGGUGCUCAAGAGGGAACCUUGAAUACUUGAUUCAUAAGUCAACUGAGAGAUGUCUCAAAUUGAUGGAGAGCUACACUUCGCAUUCUUCCAUUUGGGAGGUGUUGAUGAAAACUUUGUUUAUGCAGGUAUCUUGUGGUGGCCUGUGGUAGGUUGUAAGUUUUCCAUUCUUUGAGCAAGAAUUCACAGAAACAUCAAGGUAAAUGCUGAUUUCAAGAAAAAUGCAUAAAUUGCUUCAGUAUCAAGUAAUUCUUUUACUCAUUUAUUAUCCCUCUGUUUGGAAACAAGAUUUUUACAAUAAUUCAAUUCAAUUG
rnacentral:misc_RNA from 1 species